UUUGUGUGGCUCCUAAGGGCACUUUAUUGGGCAAGGCAAGGUCCCAGCACGGCUUACUGUGAUUUCAGUAGCACACAACUACUGCACUUUUGCUAAUAAGUGAGUCAGGCCCCCUGUGUGGCUGGUUGCUAGGCUGAGGGGCAAACAAAUGCUGCAGGCUCCUGGUGCAGCUCCCUGCCAUGCUUGGCUCUCUCUAUUUUAGUGGGGGUGUGGGGCGUGGGCCAGGCUUCAGGUGAGGCUUACUGCUUUGCUGGUGUGACUUUCAUCAGCUAGCCUUUGGAUGAGUCAGGCCUCUGGUAAGAACUGGGUGAUAGGAGGGCCAGCCCCCAGGGGAGGCAGUGGAAAUCUCUUUCAAGAGUUGGAAAGUGGGCUAGAUUCCCUGUGUGGCUGUUUGUGAUGGCCAGCAGCACAAGUCCACCACAGACCCACCAGGCCACCAGAGGCUCACUGGUGGUAGUCCCUGGAACAGGCUGCCUGCUGCUUUGCUGAGCUGCAUCAUGUCAGGUGUUCUCGUGGGUCAGGCAAACUCCUGCCCUAACUGACUAGAAGGAGGAUUCCAAUGGCACCUGCCAGCUUCAGCACCACUGAACUAGGUCACAAUAAUGGCUGCUUCCAGUGUCUUAGUCCCUGGGGAGAGGGCCCAGCUGCCUCCUGCCUCUCAGGGAUGAAUUCUGAGCUUGAUUUGGUGGCAGCAGUGAGAUCAAAGUGAACUUCUGAUGGGAUCUGGAGACAAUAAGAAACAAGGUGGGAUGCCCACAAACCUCAUUUUGAGUUCACUGUCUUUCUUGUGGUUUCCAAGGUUAAAGAAGCUUUCCCAGAACCCAAUUUAAAGGAUCCUGUUGGUCACAGUCAAGAGCCUGGUGACUGGGUAUUUUGGAAACGUUCAGAGAAAGACAGCCCUUGAGCCCUGUUGGAAGGGAAUUUAGCAAGUGCUCCUGACCACUGACACUGCUGCAAGACUAGAAGGCAUUGAACCUUGAAGAUACAUCUCACAGCUGAAGAAGUUUCCACCUGACAUCCAGUCCUGUACAGAUGCUGGAGACCUAGGGAUCAAACUGAUAAGGGAGAGAAGUAGCUGAUAUUGAUGUAGACUGCUUCUGCCCAAGAUGCUCGAUCGAGACUUCCUACUUUAGUGAAAUAUGAAACCCUUUCUUCUUAUCUUUCAUUGACCUGAAAAGAUAAUAUCCUGAUCUGUAUCUCCCAGGCCAUUGCUAAGGGGGGGGGGGGGGGGUAACUUUCCAGAUUGCUAGAAUUGUCAUCAAAGUUUCCAACCUAUCCACAAUUACCUAGAUCAGAUUUACCCUCACUUGCUAAGAGAUCUCACCGGCAGCAUCCAUCUUUGCAAGGCAUUUAGGAUGACUCUUUAUUUAAGGGUAAGAGAAAACUAACUGACCCCGGGCUUGAACAGGAAAAUGCAACAAUCUAUCUCUAUGAAUGAACUCAUUAACAGUGUAACCUUAGUGGAAGUAGUUUGUGCGCCAACAGGAUUUACCUCUGUCUGUGGUGGUGAUCAUCUUCCUUGGGCCUAUGAAUGCCUAGAUGGCUGGGGUAUGGCUGGGCUAUGCCUCUGAGGUUAUCUAACUGCACCCCAAUCUCUUCUAGGCAGGGCCUGCCAGGAGGCCUUCGUGAUUCAGGAUUCUCUUCCUUGGCAGGGCCUGCUUGCGUGGUCAGGAAGAAAUACAAGUGAGGCUAUAACCACUCUCCUUCCUAUAAAACCUUUCAUUUUGUGCAACCCCGCAGAGCACGCUUCUACUUACUAGAUAGGAUGCUGCUUGAUUCAUGAAUCUCUUAAAUCUAAUCAGAGCUUCAAAUUUACUCCACUGAAUUUUGGACUUCCACUGAAUACUUAAUCGAUGAGUGACCUUGAGCACCUGGGCAGGUGUCUUCAUCGUCAACAGAAAGGUAGCACCAUCUGCCUAACCAGGUUGCAGGGAGGAUCAACGAGCUUUCAGCAAAGCAGCUCCGUAAACCUCAGAGACCUACGCAGAAGCUAACUGUGGCUGUUUCCCGCUCCUUUAAGAGUGCAGUCAGCAUUCUUGAGGAAGCUUUUCACAGAAAUGCAAAGUUGAUUCUGGGCUUUCAAAAAACUGCCCUUUCUGGUAUAGUCUAUAAAUUAUGGUUUUAACUUAAAAAAAUAAGAAUGGGCUGGCCCAGUGGUGCAGCUGUUCAGUUCCCACGUUCCGCUUUG